rnacentral:rRNA from 1 species
CAGUCGCCGCGGUAAUACGAAGGGUGCAAGCGUUAAUCGGAAUUACUGGGCGUAAAGGGCUCGCAGGCGGUUUCUUAAGUCUGAUGUGAAAGCCCCCGGCUCAACCGGGGAGGGUCAUUGGAAACUGGGAAACUUGAGUGCAGAAGAGGAGAGUGGAAUUCCACGUGUAGCGGUGAAAUGCGUAGAGAUGUGGAGGAACACCAGUGGCGAAGGCGACUCUCUGGUCUGUAACUGACGCUGAGGAGCGAAAGCGUGGGGAGCGAACAGGAUUAGAUACCCCAGUAGUCCCUGUCUCUUAUAC